rnacentral:lncRNA from 1 species
AGUGAAGAAUUUUCCAGAUCCGAAACAAGAUCUUUCCUUAUCUUUAACCAAACCUAAUCUCAAAAUAUUCAAAACAAACAAGAAAGAAAGAGAGAUUGAAAUAUUCAUGAAAUCUUUACCUUGGAUUAAUUAUGUUUGAAAAUCCGAUUUCAAAUCUGUAAUACUUUAAUCCUCCCGGAUGAAACAAUCGCAAAAGAAAAGAUGAAAACGAAGAAUCGAUGUUGAUUUUUGUCGAAGAAUCAGAGAAAAGUUGAAAACGGGUGAAUUAUCCUUCGGUUUAUCGGAGAAAGUGGAGACCUAGGGUUCGAGUACGUGAGCUCUUGAUCUAAUCUUCAACUUCUGUUCUGCAAUCCCAAGAAAAUUGAAGGGAAAAAAAAAAAAAAGAAACCUAAUACUAUAAAAUUUUCACAUUUUUUUUUUCUCAUUCAAACAAGAGAUCAGAUGAACUGUUAAAAAUCAGAAAAAAUAAAUUAUACCAAAUGUACAGAGAAGUGGAGAUCAUUGUCACUGAGUACGUUAGAUACAAAA